rnacentral:rRNA from 1 species
UGACAUGCCCGUCAUAGUUUUCCGAAAGGAAUUCGUCAGUUCGGCUGGACGGUGCACAGGUGCUGCAUGGCUGUCGUCAGCUCGUGUCGUGAGAUGUUCGGUUAAGUCCGGCAACGAGCGCAACCCUCGUUUCCAGUUGCCAGCGGGUAAUGCCGGGGACUCUGGAAAGACAAACCUCUUGUUGAGAUGGGAAGGUGGGGACGACGUCAAGUCAGUAUGGCCCUUACGACCAGGGCUGCACACGUGCUACAAUGCCCGGCACAAUGGGAUGCAAUAUCGCGAGAUUGAGCAAAUCCACAAAACCGGGACCAGUUCGGAUUGGAGUCUGCAACUCGACUCCAUGAAGUUGGAAUCGCUAGUAAUGGCGUAUCAGCAAUGACGCCGUGAAUACGUUCCCGGGCCUUGUACACACCGCCCGUCACAUCAUGAAAGCCGGUUCUGCCCGAAGUACAUGAGUUAACCGCAAGGAGACAGUGUCCUAAGGUGGGGCUGGUGAUUGGGAUGAAGUCGUAACAAGGUAGCC